UCCUGAAGGAACGUUGAAGACGACGACGUUGAUAGGCCGGGUGUGUAAGCGCAGCGAUGCGUUGAGCUAACCGGUACUAAUGAACCGUGAGGCUUAACCUUAC
rnacentral:rRNA from 4 species